rnacentral:rRNA from 1 species
UCCAGUUGAUCCUGCUGGAGACUACCGCUAUUGGAUUUCGACUAAGCCAUGCACGUUCUGGUCUCAGGCAUUGGGACCAAGCAGACAGCUCAGUAACACGUGGACAACCUACCCUUGGAAGGGGGACAACCUCGGGAAACUGAGGCUAAUACCCCGUAGGUGACGAGCUCUGGAAUGACCGUCACUAAUAUGAGCCAGCUUGUUCCAGCUGGUUUCGUCCGAGGAUGGGUCUGCGGCGGAUUAGGCUGAUGUUAGGGUAACGGCCUAACAUACCUUCGAUCUGUAUCGGCUAUGAGAGUAGGAGCCGGGAGAUGGAUACUGAGACAAAGAUCCAGGCUCUACGGAGCGCAGCAGGCGCGAAAACUCUGCAAUGCGCGCAAGCGUGACAGGGGGAAUCCAAGUGUAUUUGUAAAACAAGUACUUUUGUAGUGUGUAAAAAGUACUGCGAAUAAGGGGUGGGCAAGACUAGUGCCAGCCUCCGCGGUAACACUAGCAACCCGAGUGGUAGUCGUUUUUAUUUGGCUUAAGCGUCCGUAGUCAGGCCGUUAAGUCUUCUGUGAAAUCCUGCGGCUUAACCGUAGGACUUGCAGAGGGUACUGGCGGUCUUGGAGCCGGGAGAGGUUAGGGGUAUUUCUGGGGUAGCGGCGAAAUGCUAUAAUCCUGGAAGGACCACCGAUAGCGAAGGCACCUAACUAGAACGGGCUCGACGAUGAGGGACGAGAGCUAGGGGAGCAAACCGGAUUAGAUACCCGGGUAGUCCUAGCCGUAAACGAUGCAGACUGAGUGUCUCCUGAACCUUGAGUUCAGGAGGUGCUGAAGGGAAACCGUUAAGUCUGCCGCCUGGGGAGUACGGUCGCAAGGCUGAAACUUAAAGGAAUUGGCGGGGGAGCACCACAAGGGGUGGAGUCUGCGGUUCAAUUGGAUACAACGCCGAGAAACUUACCAGGGGCGACGGCAGAAUGAGAGCCAAGCUAAUGACUUUGCUUAACAAGCCGAGAGGUAGUGCAUGGCCGUCGUCAGCUCGUACCGUGAGGCGUGCGGUUAAGUCCGUUAACGAGCGAGACCCGUGCUUUUAUUUGCCAGCUUUCCCGAUGGGGAAAGUGCACUAUAAAAGGACCGCUGGCGAUGAGUCAGAGGAAGGCGCGGUCGACGAUAGGUCUGUAUGCUCCGAAUCUCCUGGGCUACACGUGGACUACAAUGGCACGGACAAUUGGAUGCAACGCCGAAAGGCGAAGCCAAUCCCCUAAACCGUGUCUUAGUUCGGAUCGAGGGUUGAAACUCACCCUCGUGAAGAUGAAAUCCCUAGUAAUCGCUGGUGACUAUCCAGCGGUGAAUAUGUCCCUGCUCCUUGCACACACCGCCCGUCAAACCAACCGAGUGGAUCUCGGACGAGGCCCUCUCAUUUGGGAAGGUCAAGUUCAAGGUUCGCAAGGGGGGUUAAGUCGUAACAAGGUA